AACUUUAUAGCUUUUGUUGAGACACCUCAUUCACCACCAUACCUUUCAAUCAUACCAUUACCUUUCAAUCAUACCAUCCUCUGCAAAGACACCUCAUUCAUCACCAUACCUUUCUCUACAAAGUCAUUUCACUUCAAUAAAGGAUCUAUCUUUUCCCUCACUUAGCAUUUUCGAUCAAUCUCAUUUCUCCCUCAAGUUACUAUCUAGUUCCAACAAACCCAAAGAAAUCCAAGUGCAGAGCUCAGCCAUAUUGCGAAUGGAUCAAAUUGCCACAAAACUCAGAUUUCAGCAACUCAAACCAGAGGCUUUGAGCAUCAGAAGGAUUAGCACUGCUACUCCGAUUCAGAAAUAAGGUUAAACGACAGGCUUUGCCUAGACAGGUUGAGCAGUUGAUGGAAUGGAAUGAUGUUGAGCGGGUGUUCCUUUGACAUUUCAAGAAAUGUAACCUUGAGUAUACAUCUUCAUAUGUAUAUCUCACACGUUUUCCGCUGCAAAACACUUUGAUUAGGAUAACUUUAUGUUAUGAAGUUGGGAUACGUGUUAUUGGGUAACCCACCUUAAUCAGUUCUCAUUUAUGUGUAUGUUUUAUAAGUAUCCAAAUAAUCAUAUAUGAUCCUAGCAUUUUAUCUAUGAGUGACAUUUCCAUA